CUCCGCUCCUGUUCCAGCGGCACAAUGUGAUCCACUGGCAAGGAGGGACGCCAAUAAGGCAUCUGAUAAGAUAAGUCUUAUAAAAUAUAUAGAUUUAUGAUAAUUAAGACUGAGCUAACAGAUGAGGAAUCCUAGUCAUUGGCCAAGCAGCAUCGUACCUAAUACAAGUUUCUGUGUAUUCAUUUGGUUCCUAACUCGGGUGUGCAGCUGGCAUAAAGCUCACACGUGGCGGUGGGGCUCAGGCGGCUUUUGGCAGAAAGAUUUAUCGUAACAACAUUUUUCAGGCAUUAGGGGUGGUCUCACUGGGUCCAGAAGAGGUUUGCAGUAAGGGUCAUUCUCAGAGACCCAGGGCCACUUACAAGAAAAGGAAAUUAAGCAGAGAGGUGAUAUGUGGUGAUAGUUUGCUUGUGCUGUAACAAAUAAAGCUUGCCUGAAGAUCAGAGUGCAAAGCUAGCAACACUAGUUAGCCAUAGAGGCCAGGCAGUGGUGGGCACAAACCUUUAAUCCCAGCACUUGGGAGACAGAGGCAGCUGGAUCUCUGUGACUUCAAGGCUACCCUGAUCUACACAAGAUUGAUCCAGUCUAAAAAAGAAACAGAACCUGGUCUUUGAUCCCAGAACUUGGGUUCACACACCUUUAAUCCCAGCACUAGGGAGGUGGAGACAGGAAUGAUAUGGCUGGGUGGAGAGGGGAAUAUAAGGCAGGAGAAGACAGGAGCUCAGAGCAUUCUUUCUGAGGAUUCGUAGGGACAGGAUUGCAAUUCGGUCUGAGGAGUCAGUAGAGAUAAGAACUCUACUGGAUGCUCUGCUUCUCUGAUCUUUCAGCAUUUAUCCCUAUAUCUGACUCUGGAUUUUUGUUAUUAAGAGCAAUUAGAACUUGUGCUACCAUGACAGGCUUCAAAACAGGAUGGCAGCCUAAUUAUGAAGAAGCUUUGGUAGAGCAAGACAAAUAUUUUAAAAAGAAUGCUUGAAGAGAGAUUACGCAAGAGUGUGGGCAAUGAAAACUGUCACUUUCCAAGUUCAAGUGGGAUGUGUUCUCCCCAGCUUCUCUCCCUUUUCAAUUGCCAUUCCAUCCCCCACACAAUUGCAAACAUACCAAUCAGCUUCCAACUUUAACGAACUCCCAAAGGUCCUGCUCCAGAGACACUUAGCUUCCCCAACUGCCUGCUCUCAACAUCUUUGUGGAUGAAUGGUCCACACUGCCUUAAUCAAGUACCUCCCAGGGUUCUUCACUCUGCAUUCCAUUGCUCUGGCAGCUCUCCAUCAAAGCCUUAGGAAGAUUCUCAGAGCCCAGGGUCAUUGCUUAACUUCCCAACAUCCGAAGUGUUGAUGAAGAAAUAACUCCAGGCACAUCAUCAUCUCCAUAUAUAGAAAGCCCAUCCAGGAAACCAUCCUUGGCUACUUAUGGUUCUGUACAUUUCCACAUGAGGAAGAUGCAUUUGGAGAACAAAGCAGCACCCUAGAAGAAGCCCAGUGGGACAAAAGAUAGAAUUCUAAGGUACAGACACACAAUGACAAUACCACUGGCAAUGCUUGAAGAGUACUGAUGUCCAGACUUGGUACUGAUUACUCCACAUGGUGUGUCAAGAUUUUUGUUAUAACUGUACAACAAAGGUCUAAUUGACCUAAUUAUGGAAAAGAGGAUGCUAAGUUUAGAAAGCUUGUGUAAUUUUCCACAGUGAUACAAAUAGUGAUGCUCACAGUAUCAAGAACCUCUAGGCUUAUUUUCUUUAAAUUUACUUAUUUUAUGUGUUUGUGUGAAUACCUGCAUAUUUGUAUAUGUAUCACAUGCAUACUUGGUACCCUCUGAGGCUAGAAGAUGUCAUAGGACCCCCUGAAACUGGAGUUAGAGACCACUAUGAGCUGCCUGACAUGGGUGCUGGGAACCAAGCAGAGUCCUCUGCAAGAACAGCAAGUGUGCUUAACCUCUGAGCUAUCUCUCUAGCCCCUUGGACCCAUGUUCUUCACUAAGUGGGUCGUCCAUUAUGUAAGCUGGGAAGGGGCAGCACAGAGGGGAGGAGAGAUUCACUCUUGUUGCUUGAUGUAGGAAACUGAGGUACUUCCUUGAUUCCAAUCCCCAAGAGAGGUUUUGAGGAUCUGGAAGAAUGUGUGUGAAGGACAUCAUGCUGUUCCCACAGUGUCUGCCUGGCCUUCGCCUCCUCUGAAAUAAGGAUUACAACUUGCAGGCUGCAGCUGCAUCUGUGGUUUGGUUUUAAGAGACUGGGAGGAUGCAGAAAACUGAAAAGGGAUGGGUGGAAGCUUGGGGAAUCUCACUAACUUUUCAAGACUGUGUUUUCCUUUAGUUGGUGAGGAGAACACAUGUACAAAUACUGGGUCAUGAGAAUGUACAAAGAGCCACCGGGUACAGCCCAAGUAGCUGAGCCCCAGGCUAACCUCCCUAAAAACCUCCCCACUCUCUCUGUCCAUCUGAUGUAGAAUUCUAAGCGCCUAUUGAGUGUCAGUCAAGUUCUUCUCCUGCCUUGAGUCAGGUUCCUCAGAGAACUCACUGGGCUUACUAGAUGGAUUUAGUUUUUUCAGCACAAGGGUACAGAGACUAGUUAACCAACGGUACCUAAGGAAAAUGAAGGAAUUAUUAACGAUAGCUUGGUGAUAGCAUUUGGAGGUCACAUGUUCCCUACAGGCUCAUGUGUUUAAACAUGUGAUUGCCAGCUUGGGGUGCUGUUUGAGAAGAUGUGAAACUUUUGGGAGGCUGGGCGCAGCUGGAGUAGAACUGUGACCAGCAAUCUCCAGGAAUCCUCCUGUCUCUGCCUCUCCAGUGUGGAGGUUACAAAUGGGGACAGCCACCGCAACAUCGCAACAUCUGACUUUUCAAGUGGGUACUGGGGAUCUGAGUUCAGGUCCUCAUGUUUGCAUAGCAAGCAUGUUGCUGACUGAGCCAUCUCCCCAUCCAGGGUUGUAGUUCUUGUUUCAAAAACAUGGAUAAGGUUUUACACACAACUCUAGUGUGAGCAGGGUUUCCUAGCAAGGCUCCACACUCCUCAAAGUACAUGAAGUUCCUCCUGGUUUUAUUUCUGGAUAUUAGACUUACACAGGCUGCGGUCAAGAAUCCCAAAGGCAUUGUGAGUGUUUAAGCCAUGUGUGCAGUUUUCACCCAAGGACACAAACACAGGGCAACAGUAGGCAGUGAAAUUAUGAGCCCAAAAUAUUCCCUCCUCUUGGCCUCCCAGAGGAGCACAGGCCACUUCAACAUUGAGAAACUCUUCAAGACCACGCCCCAGCACUGCUCUCAGAUAGCAUAGUACCCUGGUUUGCACCAAGAGAGCCUUGGCUGCUCCUUCCAAUGCCGGAAGAUCACACAGCAUUUCUGUUGCCUCUGAGAGCUGAUCAAUAGGCUUAAGCUGAAGCUAGAGGGGAUUUGGGGUUAGACCAGAUUUUGAAGAAUGCCAUGAGACCUGGUUUUAACAGGGUGAAGAGCUGCAUCUUAGCCAGAAGCGUACAGGUGUGUCCACUGAUUGUCCUUUGGAAGAACUGGAGAGCAUCCCACCUGGAGGAGGGUGUGUGGAAAGUCCAGGGAAAAACUACUCUGAGCCUUAUUUUAGUCUCAGAGGCCAAUGGAAAAGAAAUCCCAAUGGGCACCAGAAAUUAAAGUGUUUGUUUUGUUUGGCAAGGAAAGCACAUUACUCUUACUGUAUUCUUCACUCUGGCAUGCAAACUUUGAAAGCCAGAAGCUGGAAGAACACAGCCUUCUCUUUCCUGCCUUCGCCUUUUCUUCCCUUUGGCUUCUCUGUGAGAACAUUAAGGUUGUCCCUUGGUUGAGCCAAGCUGGCCAGUGCCCAGACAGGAAGCAGAGCUAUGGAGGUGGUCAAAUGGGGAUUGGUGUCAGCUGGAGGAAGAUCUGAGGGCAUAUGCAAGGCCAGGAGGCUGAAAUCAGGGAGUAUUUAGCUAAGCCAAGAGGGAUUAGCUGCAGCUUAUCAGGGUGGGUUUUCAAGUAUCUGGAGAAAGACAAGCGAAUCAGCAGGCCGAUGGGGAGACCAAAAUGCCUGUGUCCACAGAAGUCUAAAGAUGUCUGCAGGGACAAGGCAGUGGUGUGUGUAAGUUAGGAGAGAAAUGCUUCCCCAGGCAGCCUCAGCAAGGCAGCCAGGCUUCUAAAAGUAAAUUUAUUUUCUGCUAGCAAGAAUUGUAUGAAAAGGACUUUAGAGAAAGCCUUCUUCACAAGGCAGAGGUUUCAAAUUCAGUUUAGAGCCCACUCAUGCUGGAAACAUUCCCUACCCCCUCCUCCUGCAGAUUCAGGCUCACUGGAGCUAUUAGAGGAAAGGGGAAGCUCUGUGUACAACUGGACAAUAAACAUUCCCUAUUCUCACUCAUGCACCACCCUCAGUAGCUUGCCAGCCAUUUACAUUCCCACAUCCCAGCUCUCAAACAAACGCACAUAGCUGACACAUAUACAUGCAUAUGCACGUUCAUAUUAACCCCGCUCCUUGCUCUGUCAGCCUCAUUUACAUAUAACAUUGUGCAAUGGUUCUUUCAUGCUAUGGACAACUUAGGCAGUCUGAUGAAAUCCAGGAACUCCCUGGGAAAGCAGUUGUUAAUGCAGAAAUGAAAAUGUCCAGGAUUAGGCAGAAAACUAAUCAGUUUCAAAAUACCUUUAAAAUCUGGAGUUUGUCAGUACAUGUGCUUCCUACUUUAAAUAAUAUUCAGUGAUGGAUCUUAUGGACCAAUCGUGUAAAGGCUAUAAGUAAUAUUUUGAUAUAUCUCAAAUAACUAUAAAAUAAUAUGAAAAUAUAUGACAUUUCUAUUGACACUAAACUCAUAGACACCACUAAUACUGCUGUUGAUAUUUCAGUCAUGAUAACAAAAAUGUUACUUAUUCAAGUACACAAAUGCUCUUUCAUCUUUUCCUGGAGCCUCAGAGACCCAUGAACCCUAGGUUAAUGAUUGCCCUAAUUUACCUACAAUACAUAUUUAUAAAGCGUAUGUGCCUUCAUGCAUUACAUUUCCACACACAUAUUCACCAGUCAUCCACCCACGCAUUUCUAAAUCCAACUUCAAAAACUACCCAACUAACUUCCACUCUAACUCUAAAAAGUACCCACAUAAUUCUGUACUAGUAAAGGUUUAUCAGUCAUCUGUACAGGUGUUUUUGGAAGUGUCAGUCUUGUGUUAAGAUGCCCACCAUGGCCAGUUUCAAGCUUUGAAUGCAGGGUCAUGAAGCCCAGAGCUGGAAGAAAUGAACAGUGUAGUGGAUAUAAAACACCUCAAGGAAAGCAGGGUGCUGUGAUACCCUUGUUUAUAAUUCCAUUCUUGGGGAGCAGAGACAGAAAACAUUCUUGCUUUUUGAGUCAUUUCUGAACUCAUUGGCCAGUCAGCCCAGCCAAAUCAAAAAGCUCUCCAGGUUCAGUGAGAGACCCUGUCUCAAAAAGUAAAAUGAAGAUGAUGGAGAGAGACGUUUUACAUUGAUCUCUGACUCCCCUGACAUGUUCAUAUCCACACACUCACAUACAACACACACAAACACACAAACACACACACACACACCGUAUUUGGAGUCAUACUUGAGAGCAAAUUGUAAACUGAUUAGGCAGGGAUGAGUUUUGACUAUCUAUUUCAUUUAUUGUUGUAUGACUUAUUUAACUAAAUAUAUACUAAUUUUUAAAUAUAUUUUCCAUUUAAAUUCCUAAAUUUAACAAUUGGCUCACAAUAUGCUGUAUAACUAUUACCAAUAUAUGAGCACAGAUGCACCUAACCUAAGAUUACUUUCCACACCAAUUCCUCUCACAUUCACAAUUGUCCUUGAACCCUUGUUCAUGAACAUUCUCUUCACUAACAUCUCCACUUGCACUCAUAAUCACAGCACUUACAUCUCUCCACCUUUAGACGUAAGUUAUCCAUACAUACCUCACAUGUGUAUCACAUACAUCACUAUACUAGGUGAACAUAAAGAUACCAUUAAAACAUAACUUCAAACUCAUAUGACCCCAAUCUUGUAAAUAUAAUACCUCAGUUAUAUCAUUAUUAUUCACUCCCACAACCAUUUCCAUAAAAUUCCUACUCAUGAAAACACACACACACACACACACACACACACACACACCAACACUUAGUUAUACUCAUGAAAAACAUCUCAAAUAUGUCAAUGCACCCAUCCACACUGUCCAAACACACUCAGGUACUCAUGAACCAUUACAAGUAUGGUUCUGUAUGCACAUGUUUAAGUGUGCAUAAUUCUCCUAUACUGUUGUAGUAUAACUAUAUUUCUGGAGAAACUUGAACAAAUGUCUGCUCUCCCAGGUAGGAAACAGAUGACAGCCCAAAGCAAGGGUACCACAAAGUCUAACUUGGUGAGCUAGUGAGUUUUAUUUAGGUUGGAGUAUGAGUGAGGGCUUACUAAAGAGAACAGAAAUGAGUCAAAGACAGGUACAUCACCAAAAGCCCACCCCAGCAUAAGUGAUGGCUCAUGAAGCUGAGGACCUAGCGGCCACUCCACAAGUAGUAGGCAGCUCAACAGGUUGAAAGGUGUCUCUUUCAGAGCACUUGGCUGGUCUCUGCAGCAUCUAGAGAGUUGAAGUGGUCUGAGUCUCUUGUAGGAAGUUUGUUUUGUCUGAGAGUGUCCUUCAGCAGUCUUUACACCUUACAUAUUCUAGGGGAGGGAGGAGCCUAGUGAAUCUGGUUUGUUUCAGGAACUUCCUGAAGUUAUUGAGUUGUUUAUCUCCUGAGACUCAUGAGCUUCCUUGCAGGAUGGAAUGCUUCACCUCCCUUAAGAACAUUCUGUGUCUUAAUAAGCUUCACUCUAAGAAUGUUUUAUGUGGGAAGAAGCUACACAACAACUCCUCAUAACAAACACAUUAUGACUAACCACCAUCUCUGCAUGAACUCAUAAUUACAUAUAUUAUCUAUGUGGACUUAUUCAAUGUAGAUCCCCCAUCUCCUUACAAAUACAACUCACGUAUUUUAGUGCCCAUCAGUCUGUGUCCACUCACACCCACCCAUGAAUGUGAAUCUGAGCCUGCUUCCUCCAUCAUAGGAAAGUCUGCUCAUUGCAUCUGACUGCACUUCAAGAAUGCAGAGGCCAAACUUGGUGACCUCAGAUGAAUACAUCAGAAAGAUCCAGGCAGCAGCUCAGCCAGAGAGCCCAUUUCCUUAGAGGAGCCCUAAUCUAUCAUUGUCUCCUCUUUUGUCUUUUGACUUCUGACUCAGUGAACUUCGGAUCCCUUUCAUCUCUGCCAGUAAAAGUGAUUAAAUAUGUUGUGCUGAGAGAAGUGGGUGACAGAGAGGACCAUGAAAACUAUUUCUUUGUUAUCAUUGAGCCAAAGAAAUCUCCACAUGCUUUCCCAUAAGUUGGGCUUGGGUGCAUCAGGCAGAAGGAAUGUAUCAAGAGUAUUUGCUUCUUUUCUAAGUAGCUAAAUCUUUGGAAAACACACAAGGUGGAGGACUAGGGCUGUUUGCUGGUGUUAUUAAGGAAGGGGCUGAGAGGCAUUGGCCUUGGGACCUACAGUCACAAAUGAACUGGGACAGUCUGGCCUAUUUAUUGAUGGGCCCACUGGCCUGAUUCUUCCUGAUGUAAUUCAGAACCCACACGUGGUUGGAAUGAGGGGCUCUGAUUUUACCAAGAGCUUUCUCUGCCUUAGAGCUGCAGGUACUUACUAGAUUGAUUGGAGGCUUUAUUAAAGUUUUAUAAAAGAUAUCGCCUGAGAACCCUGAGGGCAGAGCCGUUCUGACCAGGCCCUGACUCAGCAGCUUAUGGUCCCGGGUAGGAGGGGUUCAUCUUACAUUUCAGAAUUAUCCAAGGGGCCUGGCAUCAGCAUCUAGUCCCAUCUGGUCCAUUCGUUGCUUUGGCUGGGUGACUGGAUGUGUCGCUUUUCUGCUGUUGUCAUAAAAUACCCAAGAUAAGUUAGAGGAAUACUGUUGAGGCUCACAGUUACAGAGAUUCUGGUGCUCAGUCAUUGAUCCUCCUGCCUUGGGCCUGUGCCAAAGCAGAACAUUGUAGUGUAUGGAGUUACUCACCCUCAUGGCAUUCUGGGAAACAAAGUUUGAUCGAAGGGUCUGUGAUUCUACUCAAGGGCACUCCCCCCCCCCCAGUAAGCUAACUGCCUUCCACCAGGCCCUUCCUCCUGAAAGUUCUAUCAAUUCCUAGGCACAUGAAAGUCUGGAAACCAAGCAUUCAACGAGUGGUUACAGGAGAACAUUUAAGAUCCAAACUGUAACAGUAGAAUGGGGCUGUAGUUGGCACACCUUAGCAAGAUGUGAUUGGUGGAAGAGAGCUUGGCUCUGAGGCUUAUGUCACAGAGUGGCUGAGUGGCCUUGGACAUUCCUAAACCUCUGAUCCACAGGCAUAUGAACUGAGAACACAAAUGCUUAUUCUAAAUGGUUUUAAGUUCUUUGUCAUCUUGGGCUGUUGCCAUAAUGAAGGUAAAAGGGAAGAUCUAGGUACACCAAGAAGAGGGGUUUAUAGUCUCAGGGGCCCAUGUCCCAAGGACAGGAGAAAAAACUGGAAUUGGGGGGCAAGUCCAGGCUCAGCGUGAUAGGUAAUAGCUGCAAAUGGUACAGGAUCUAUCUAAGGGAUAGACUUCUGUGCAUGUCUGUGAGGAAGUUCCUAGACACAUUUGUUGAGGUGGGAAGAUACACUCUAACUGCGCAACACUAUUCCAUGAGCUGGGUCUCUGUGUGAAAAGGAGAAGAAAGUGAGUUGAGCACUCACUCUGCUCCCUCACUGCCAACACCACAAUAGGACUAGCCUCUUGGCAUUCCUGCCUUCCCCACCAGCUGUGCCCACAGACAGUAGCUGAAAUUAACCCUUCCUUCCUCAAAAUGCUUUUGUCAUACAUUUUGUCACAGCAAUGAGACAAGUGAUGAGUCCACCCAGGCUUCAUUGGUUCAGCUGUUUAUGGACAGCUAGAUAAAGCGAUUCCUUUGAGGAUAAAAACUAUUAUUAAAUACCGAGAGUGGAGAGGAUUGGGGUAAGUCAGUUCCUAAACAGGGUUUCCAGUGGUAUGCUCCAGGCAGGCAGGCAGGCAGGCAGACAGGAAGCAUGGUGGUCAUGGUGAUUCACAAGGCAACACACAGCCACUUUGUCCAGUCCCUCCUCCUGGGGAAGUUGGGACCAGCAACAAGUAGCCUUUAUUGUCUUUUGUAAACCCUAGGAAAAUUAAGUAUAGUACUUCAUUGAAUAUGCAUACCACUCAAUGAAUAGAUACUAUUGGCUCCAUUAUCAUCUGUACUUUAUUGCCUGAAGGGAAUUUUGAAACAGGGAUGGAUAAAUCUGGUUGCUACAUCUGGAAAGUCCAACGGUAGAGCUAGCUAAUGUCUCAGACAAUUCCACCAGGGUUGCUUCUUGCUUGUCUGCUUUCCCUCUGCUACCAUUGCCCACCCUCCCCACCCCAGCCCUUCUAAAGAAUGCCCCACCCCUUGCUAAUACCAUUAGUGUGUCUCUCUAACCUGCAGCCAGGACCCACUUGGGUUGCACAGAGCCUGUUGAAGGCCCAUUUGCUCAACACAUAAUGGGGAUUAGAAUUCAUUAAUGCACUACAAAUUAAAGUAUUAAUAACGGCUGCAGAGUUUAAAUGAGAGCCAAGGAAGGGAACCGGGUGAGUGGUUGCCCCUCCUGUGUCCCCCACCUAGCUGCAUUGUUCUGGCAGGGGCAAUCCUGCGCUCUUUAAUAUGCUGUGACAGCCGCCGAAGUGACCCCAGACAAUAAACAGUGCCUCCUAGUUAAGUAUUAAUCUGCCAAAAGAAUGACCUUCAUCCACUAAAGAAGGGAUGUUUUUAAAAACCUCGCAAGUGGAGGAAGGCUCAUUUGCUCGCUCAUUUAGCAUAUUAAAAGGGUAUUAUUGCUACAAACAAGAAAUCUAAAUGAGGCCCGGGCAGGAGCUGCGGAUAACACUCCUGAUUAAAGGUGCAGGGUAAUGAUGAACACGGAAGGCUGAAUCUGUUAUUGUUCUCCAACAUGGCAGGACCUGGCUGCUGGGAUGAUAAGAGAAUCGAGUCUGGACCAGCCUUUGUCAGACAAGAGUGAAGUGUGCCUUGCUGCUGGAUGCUGCCUACCUCUACCAGAGGACAGCAGGUUGGAGGAGGGCUGUCAGAGGCCACCCUAGAAGAAAGGAGCCCAGAGAGAUGGUGUCAAAGAGUUCCCUACAGUGACAAUUUCUUAUUGUCAUCCUUUGACUUGUUUACUUUCAGCUUCUUGAGCCCCUGCUGGGCCACUCUGUGGACAGCACCUUUCCCCCCCACUCCUAGAGCCCAGGCAGCUCUCCAGGGGCUCAGCUCCCUCAGUUCUGGAAGGAAGCAUCUGACAGGGAGAAAAGGAGAAAAGAAGGGCUUGUCUAGUUGUCUCUUCUACCCAGGAGAAUGCUGAGUCCUUCCAAAUCACUGGAGGGAAGGAGUUGAGAAGCCAGGAGUCUACCUCAAGAUGAAGGGUGCAUUGGCAGAGCCAAGGAUGAAGAGAAGACAGGAACAUAACUAAAUGAAGAAAACAAACAAAAAAAUACCAACGCUGGGCUGGAGAGAUGGCUCAGUAUACAUUCAGUUCCUAGCACCCCCAUGGUUGCUUAUAACUCGAGUUCCAGGGGGUCUUACUCCGUCUUCUGACCUGCAUGGGCAGCAGGCACAUAUGUGGUGCACAUACAUACAAGCACACAUGCAGGCAAAGCACUCAUCCACAUACAAUUAAGCUCUUUAAAAAUGUGAAAAAAGAUAUAAGCAUAAGACUCAAAUUCAACAACUAUCCAUGGGAAAAAGAAUAAUGUAUCAAUUAGUGGGCUGACAGGUGACUGGGGCAGGAGCAGAGUCUGCCCUGGGCAAGGAUGAGUCACCUGAAACCAACAAGCAGAGCAAGUUUUAAGGACACAGAAUCUUGAGAAUAUAAAUAAAUGACUGACAGCAGGAAAGAGGGCAAUUUUUUUCUCUUUCUUUUUUAAAAUUGAAAUUAGAAACAAGCUUGUUUUACAUGUCAAUCCCAGUUCCCUCUCCUUCCCCUCCUCUCCUGCUCCCCCAAACCGACCCCCUAUCCCACUCCCUUUCUGCUCCCCAGGGAGGGUGAGGCAUUCCAUGGGGGAUCUUCAAAGUCUGUCACCAUUUGGAGCAGGGCCUAGACCCUCUCCCAUGUGUCUAGCCCUCUAUGUGGAGAAGGCUCCCAAAGUUCAUUCAUGUACUAGGGGUAAAUACUGAUCCACUACCAGUGGCCCCCUAGGUUGUCUAGACCUCAAAACACCCACAUUCAUGGGGUCUAGAUCAGUCCUAUGCUGGUUUCCCAGCUAUCAGUCUGUAGUCCAGGAGCCCCCCACCUUGUUCAGGUCAGCUGUUUCUGUGAGUUUCUCCAGCCUGGUCUUGACCCCUUUGCUCAUCACUGCUCUCUCUCUCUCUCUGCAACUGGAUUUCAGGAGUUCAGUUCAGUGUUUAGCUGUGAGUGUCUGCUUCUGCUUCCAUCAGCUGCUGGAUGAAGGCUCUAGGAUGGCAUAUAAGGUAGUCAUCCAUCUCAUUAUCAGGGACGGGCAUUUAAGGUAGCCUCUCCACUAUUGCUUAAGUUGUUAGUUGGGGGGGUCAUCCUUGUAGAUCUCUGGACUUUACCUAGUGCCAGAUUUCUCUUUAAACCUAUAAUGGCUCCUUCUCUUAUACUCUUUUCUUGUUCUCCUCUAUUCUUCCCCUGAGUCAAUCUUCCUGCUCUCUCAUGCCCUCUUCUCCCCUCCUCUUCUCCCCUUCUGAAAGAGGGAAAAUUUUGAGAAUUAAAAGGGGAGUUACAUUGUUCUAAAUAUUACAUUGUACUAUUUGGGAAGUCACUUCUGUGCUAUGUAAUCCUUGAGGACAGUGACCCUGUCUUGUUCAACUCACAUUCUUAUCACCUAGAACAGUUCCUAGCAGGCGAUGGCAGAAUUGAGAUCAUUUGUUCUCUUUGCUGAGGGUCCUCUUCUAAUGUUCAGACAUGGGGAUAUUUCCCAGCCUUCCUUGGAGCCAAAUUGUAAGCAGAUGACUAAUGUUUGACAGACAGGACAUGGAUAGAAGCGAUGUGUCACCCCUGGCCCAAGGCACAGCAGAUACAGUGCUCCUCACCCAUCUCUUUCUUCCCUUGCUUUGGCAGGUAGGUGAUGAAAGAGGGUCAUCACAGGAUGGAGGUUGGACUCCCUGUGUCAUGGGCGGGUGAACCCCACUAGCUUAUAUGAACACUUUCAGGCUUCUGCUGUGUUCAACCACUGGGCUUUAGAGGCUUACAUAUGGAGGUAGUAAGUGUUGUCCUAAUUAGUAAAUGUGGUACUUGACAAAUACUUUUGGAAUCAAUAAAUGUAUGUUCUCCUUUAAUCUUCACAGUAGCUAAAGCUAGCUAUUUCCACUUGUCAAAGAAGGAAAUUCAUAGGUAAAAAGCGAUAUAAGCAAAAAUUGAAUUCAUGCCUUCAUGCCCCUUUUCACUAUACCCAGCUGUCUUUCAAGAAUGUAGUAUGAUAUAUAUUUUAUGUGAAAAUUUUACCAAAAAGUACCAUUGUAAUAGAGGUUCAGGGUUUUCCAAAUGACAGUCCCUUGGCUGAUGAGACAAGGCUGUCAUCUUGGAUGCAGUCAAAUCCUCCUGAAUUCAAGCUCACCAAAGAGGGAGUUUUCUGUCCUUGGAGUGUGGGGAGGGGUCACCCCUGCAUUUCCUAGCUUCCUGAAACAGAAAGUCGGUCAAGGUCAAUGUCCUCUAGGAGGUGCUGCUGCCCUAGGAAGUGCUUGCAUCUUACCUUCAGAAAGAUUCCUCAAUCUCCCUGCAAUGUCCCCUGCCCCCAAGCUGUGGAUCCUGGCCCACUGGAACUAGUGCAACAAAGAGAAGUCGUGAACUAAUAAAUGGACACCCCAACCUACUUAGCCAUCACCCCAGAGAAGGCAGAGGAUGGCUUGAGGAGGAGGAAUUGCCUCCACUCUAAGCCAAGAAGAAUAGGUUGAGUAGGAUCAAAGGACCAGAAAUAAAUUUAACCUCCGAGAGAAAAAUGGUAAAGAAGCAACCAUUGGAUGCACAAGCCAUAGGGAAAUGCAAGCCUGGGAAAGCUCUUUUGGCUGAGAAAUUGCUCAAUCUACUUACCCUUUUCUACUGUUUUUACUUAUAAGGAAGUUGUCCAUGGUCUGUCAGCAAAUAGCGAGCAUGAAGCACUUGUAAGUCAUCAUCUGCCCAGCCUGCCUUAGGGAGCUAACUUCUCUUCCUGGGAUAGGAAGACUGCAUAGUCUCCCCACCCCCUGGCCUGUGGGCCCUGUCCCCUUGUCCUUCCACAGUCUCAUGGGUGACAGCUCACUCACAAAUAUUGUUUGGAAUCCCGGCUCAGCCUGGUUGCUACCUGUCUUCUCUACCCCCCUCGUCAGUUACACCAAUUCACCAACUGGGCUGCUAGCCUCUGCCUGUGCCUUUCUUUCAACAGCCCUCAAGUUUUCUGAGGGGAAAAAAAAAAACCUGUGAUGUUUGUGUCCAUUGCACCAGUGUAAACCUAAGGCACAGUACAGUGGUACAUUGCUUAAUUAUUAAAAAUGAGACAUUGUAUAACUUCUUUUUUGUACAAAUAACAGAUAAAUAAUAUUUAUAAAAUUAAGAUGUUACUAGAUGAUACAAUUUUAUGGGAUGACCUGCAUAAAUGUGGCCCAUUUUGUUGAUCAAAAUUUUAUAUAGUGCAUGAUCAUGUUACUAAGUAAAUUUAUUGAAAUCACAUAACAUUCAUGUCAUCUUCUAGUUUCUGGAGACUUUUAACCUGUUCAGAUAUUUUACCUGGAUCUGUUCUCUCUCUCUCUCUCUCUCUCUCUCUCUCUCUCUCUCUCUC
rnacentral:lncRNA from 1 species